UACAGAGGUCUCAAGCGUUGUUCGGAUUCAUUGGGCGUAAAGGGCUCGUAGGCGGCCAACUAAGUCGGAUGUGAAAUCCCCAGGCUCAACCUGGGAACUGCAUCCGAUACUGGAUGGCUUGAAUUCGGGAGAGGGAUGCAGAAUUCCAGGUGUAGCGGUGAAAUGCGUAGAUAUCAGGAGGAACACCGGUGGCGAAGGCGGGUCUCUGGGCCGACAUUGACGCUGAGGAGCGAAAGCGUGGGGAGCAAACAGG
rnacentral:rRNA from 1 species